GGAGAGUGCUGCAAUACAACAAUAUCUUCUAGUUUUGUUGCAUACGCUUACAAAGUGUCGUUGGGCGCUGCGGUGCAGCAGCUGUUGGGCAGUGUGGAAGCUUGGACUACGCAGAUUUUUUCUCUGUUUGGGUUGUUUUUUGCAAUCAAAGUAUGAAUCGUGAAUAACUGAAGCAAGCUCAAAAAUCGACAAGGGUUUACCUAGGAGCAAGGAUUUUUGGAUUUCUUUAUACCGACGCUAUUGCAGGUGGAACUGAGUUUUUGUUGUCAUUCCUUGUUCCAUGGGCGGUAGUGGUGGAUUAUCGGUCUCUUGCCAUGCUUUUGCGAUUGGAGCAGAGUUGGUUGUUUUGUUUUUCCUCUUAUGCGAGGAAGGGAUCACGGAUCAUGCGGUGGUGCAGUAAGUGAUCAGACUUCCGCUGUACAAGGUUGCUGGGUUGCGUUGAGCGGAGGCAUAAUUGCGAUGAAGCAGCCCUCAGAUUGAGAUCAUGCAACUUGGUGCAAAGCAGCAUUGUGGUGGAGUUUUAUGUUGCGUGGAAGGAGUAUUGAUUUGUGGAGGACGGUGACGUAAACCUCUGAUCUGCGACCAAGUGCAAGAAGUCAUCCCUGUUUCUCCCGGUGGUGGUCUCAUUGGUGAGGUUUACGCCUUAGGUUUUUGAAAGAAGGUAGUAUUGUGGUGCGGAGCCAAUCACGUGCAUGGAAUACUGCUGGAGGAAGGCGUCUGGAACAACCACAAUCUCAAGAUGGGAGUAGUCACAAGAAGCAUUCGUACCUAAGGGUGAGGUUUCAGACUGGAUGAAUUAAUAUAUAGGUGGAAUUCCGAUCUAGAUGAAGUUAGGUUAGAAAUCAAAGGACUUAUAUUAGGAUUUGGAUUAGGUUAAUUUGGAUGAAAAAUUGAGUGAAAAAAUAUUCUUAAAUUGGAUGAAAUUUAUUUA
rnacentral:lncRNA from 1 species